rnacentral:lncRNA from 1 species
CUGCCUCCUGAGUUCAAGUGAUUCUCCUGCCUCAGCCUCCUGAAGAGCUGGGAUUACAGGCGCACGCCACAAUGCCCAGCUAAAUUUUGUUUUUUUUUUUUGAGACGGAGUCUCGCUCUGUCACCUAGGCUGGAGUGCAGUGGUGCGAUCUUGGCUCACUGCAAACUCCGCCUCCCGGGUUCAUGCCAUUCUCCUGCCUCAGCCUCCUGAGUAGCUGGGACUACAGGCACCCGCCACCACGCCCGUCUAAUUUUUUGUAUUUUUAGUAGAGACGGGGUUUCACCGUGUUAGCCACGAUGGUUUCAAUCUCCUGACCUCGUGAUCCGCCUGCCUUGGCCUCCCAAAGUGCUGGGACUACAGGCGUGAGCCACCGCGCCUGGCCAAUUUUUGUAUUUUCAGUAGAGACGAGGGUUUCAACAUAUUGGUCAGGCUGGUCUCGAACUCCUGAACUCAAGUGAUCCGCCUGCCUCAGCCUCACAACAUUCUGGGAUUACAGGCAUGAGCCACCACUCUGGCCGCAAUUUCCAAUCUCCUUUUCUCUCUCUCUGUCUCUCUCUCUCUCUCUCUCUCUCUCACACACACACACACACACACACAAACACACACCCCUCUGCUUCCAUCAUAACACCUUCUAUAACUCUGACCCUCCUACCUUUCUCUUCUUUUUUAUUUUGAGACAGAGUCUCUGUCUUUCAGGCUGAAGUGCAGUGGUGUGAUCUUGGCUCACUGCAAUCUCUGCUUCCUGGGUUCAAGAGAAGUGAUUCUCAUGCCUCAGCCUCUGGAGUAGCUGGGACUACAGGCAUGCACCACCAUGCCUGGCUAAAUUUUUUGUGUGUUUUUAGUAGAGGAAGGGUUUCACCAUGUUAGCCAGGCUGGUCUCGAACUCCUGGCUUCAAGUGAUCUGUCCGCCUCAGCCUCCUAAAGUGCUGGGAUUACAGGCGUGAGCCACUGUGCCAGCCAUAAUGAUUUUAUGUUAUGAGACAGGGUCUCACUCUGUUGCCCAGGCUGCAGUACAGUGGCUCAAUC